rnacentral:rRNA from 1 species
AUGGACAACAAGAAUGGCGUCAAGGUCACCUACAUCGAGACGCAGUUCGUCACCUCCGACGCCGCGGGCUUCAAGUCCCUCGUGCAGCGCCUCACCGGCAAGCCAUCCGGUGCCGCCGCCGCGCCCGCGCACCAGCUCCACAGGCCGCGGCCCCGCCACGCCGACGGGAGGAGUGCUGCCACCACCGGACCGUCAGGCUAUCGCAUGCCCGCCACGGCAGGCCCCGUUAGCGCAGCGGCGAAUGACGCCGGCACCAGAUCGUCAAGCUAUCUCAUUCCCGCCACGGCAGGCCCGGUUGGUGUAGCGGCGAAUGACGCGCGGACGGCGACGGCCCAUGCCAACUCCGGCGCCGCGCAGUCGUCGUGCCUGGAUGAGCUGCACGGCCUCUGCGAUUACACAGAGCUUUUCACCGUCGUCGGCGCGAGCGAACAGCAGCGUCACGGCAGUUACAGUGGUUUCCCCUAUUGA